rnacentral:rRNA from 1 species
CAAGCUUACGACGGGUAGCCGGCCUGAGAGGGUACCGGCCACACUGGGACUGAGACACGGCCCAGAUUCCUACGGGAGGCAGCAGUGGGGAAUAUUGCACAAUGGGCGCAAGCCUGAUGCAGCAACGCCGCGUGAGGGAUGACGGCCUUCGGGUUGUAAACCUCUUUUAGUAGGGAAGAAGCGAAAGUGACGGUACCUGCAGAAAAAGCACCGGCUAACUACGUGCCAGCAGCCGCGGUAAUACGUAGGGUGCGAGCGUUGUCCGGAAUUAUUGGGCGUAAAGAGCUCGUAGGCGGUCUGUCGCGUCUGCUGUGAAAACCCGAGGCUCAACCUCGGGCCUGCAGUGGGUACGGGCAGACUAGAGUGCGGUAGGGGAGAAUGGAAUUCCUGGUGUAGCGGUGGAAUGCGCAGAUAUCAGGAGGAACACCGAUGGCGAAGGCAGUUCUCUGGGCCGUAACUGACGCUGAGGAGCGAAAGCGUGGGGAGCGAACAGGAUUAGAUACCCUGGUAGUCCACGCCGUAAACGUUGGGCGCUAGAUGUGGGGACCAUUCCACGGUUUCCGUGUCGCAGCUAACGCAUUAAGCGCCCCGCCUGGGGAGUACGGCCGCAAGGCUAAAACUCAAAGGAAUUGACGGGGGCCCGCACAAGCGGCGGAGCAUGCGGAUUAAUUCGAUGCAACGCGAAGAACCUUACCAAGGCUUGACAUAUACGAGAACGGGCCAGAAAUGGUCAACUCUUUGGACACUCGUAAACAGGUGGUGCAUGGUUGUCGUCAGCUCGUGUCGUGAGAUGUUGGGUUAAGUCCCGCAACGAGCGCAACCCUCGUUCUAUGUUGCCAGCGCGUAAUGGCGGGAACUCAUAGGAGACUGCCGGGGUCAACUCGGAGGAAGGUGGGGAUGACGUCAAAUCAUCAUGCCCCUUAUGUCUUGGGCUUCACGCAUGCUACAAUGGCCGGUACAAAGGGCUGCAAUACCGUAAGGUGGAGCGAAUCCCAAAAAGCCGGUCUCAGUUCGGAUUGAGGUCUGCAACUCGACCUCAUGAAGUCGGAGUCGCUAGUAAUCGCAGAUCAGCAACGCUGCGGUGAAUACGUUCCCGGGCCUUGUACACACCGCCCGUCAAGUCAUGAAAGUCGGUAACACCCGAAGCCAGUGGCCCAACCCU